UUGUCAUACCUAAAAUUUAUAUUGAAAAAAUGGCAAAAUUUGGCAAUCCCUUUAAGAGCGCCUUCCGUAUUGUAUACAUUAUUAUUUUGAUUGUCAUUAUCAUCUGUAUAUUAUGUUGUCUGUGCGUCGUUAUGGUUUUGUGCUGUCCUUGCUUGACGCUCUCCGCCUGCUGCGGCCUUGGUCAAGAGGAGGAAGAGGAUUCAAAUAAUAAUAAUAAUAAUAAUCGAAACAAUAACAGGAACAAUAACAGAAAUAAUAACCGAGGCAACAGAAUAUGAGCGAGUGCCAAGGUCAGUGGAAGUGCUUGUAAUCCAUUGCUAUUUGAAGGGAGACAUAACUUGAAUGCUGAGCUGCAACAAUGCCAAUUAACUGCUAGUUAAGUCACUACUUCAUUGGCAUAUCUACUCGGCGACGGCGGCAAUAUCCGUAGCUGACUAGACCUCUAAUAGGCACCGCAACGGCGCAUCCACAAACUCAAACGCAAACACACAUAUACUUGUAUAUAUAUAUAUACUGAGAUAAAGCUCCACGACUGCAACGCGUGACAUUAAUCAAGCCCUCAUGCCUCUGCCAUCGUCGUUGCCAUUGCCGUUGUCGUUGUCGUCUGUAGUUGCCCCAACAACCAAGUAACGCCUGGGGGAUGGCCGAAAAAUCAUUGUUGACAUUUGUAAUUAGAAUUGAUAGCAAGCUGGCAGACGAAAGGCUACCAACGGCCGAUCAGCCGAUGAGGAGGGAGCGGACAAGGCGACGGCAAUGCAAAGGCAGCACAGCCCCUAAACGUUUCGAGGGGUAGCCGUUAAACUAAUUUCGUUUUCGUUUCUGUACACAACGUCCAUCGCACACAACCCACAUGGACCGAUACGUGCACUCGAACGCAGCAGACGGAUAGGCUGACAGGUGAGCUGCAGCCCACCAUCAAGGACCUGUAUGGAGCCCUUAGAAGGAGAAGCCUCAGAACUCUUUUUGUGAUACUUGGCAACGCACAAAAAUGCAAUAAACUCCAAAUUUGGCGUGAAUGUGAAGAAAAAUUAUUGAAAAACAUGUCAAAGUAAAUAGAGGUUGGUUAUCAAUUAUUUAA